rnacentral:piRNA from 1 species
UAGAUGAUGUAAGGGCAUUAAGGGAAUGCAC